CACGCUGGAGUGCAAUGGCGCGAUCUCAGCUCACUGCAACCUCCACCUCCCAGGAGAAUGGCGUGAACCCGGGAGGUGGAGCUUGCAGUGAGCCAAGAUCGUGCCACUGCACUCUAGCCUGGGGGACAGAGCGAGACUCUGUCUCAAAAAAAAAAAAAAAAAAAAAUCUUAAUUGCAAUGAAAGAUACUUAGGAAAAUCCUUUGUUGUUGCUCUUACUUGAGAAUAACAUUUUCUAACUGAAGAGCUGUCAUUGGUACACUCCAUCUUGUCUUUUAGGAGCUUAACUUGAUGGUUUUUUGUUUUCCUAUAUAACGACACAUAUAGAAAUAGCAAUUUUAGGUAAAUUUAAAGUUUGCCAAGAGAAGUAUUAAAAUGCACUGUAUAUUUUAUAGGUGUUUACUAAGUUAUAUUUUCUAGAGGUCAACUUAGCACUCCAGUCUCUUAAAGUGACAUCAUGUGUUAAAGCAGCGUUUUGUGUACUGUAUUUCUGCCAGUGUUUUAGAAGAUUUACAAAGUAGCCAAUGUGAAAACUAUUAUACAAAGUUAAAUAGUAGACUUUGACAGAUAGGAAUAAUGUAAGGGCUUGAGGUAUUAAGGCAUGGAAAUUGAUGUUUUGGGGAUUGGUAGAUGAUUGUUGGCUGGUCCACAUUUAACUUCUUUCUGUUAAACUUGUAGAUAGUCAAAGUGAAGUUCAUUAAAUAUUUUCUGAAAUCAGUUUAUUAAGGUGACAUAAAGUAUUUUAAACAUUUAAAGAAGUAUUAAUUAAAAUGGUAUUACAAAUUUAGAACUUGGUAUAUUUAGAACUUUGGUUAUAUUGUCUGUUCUUGGGUUUUCAUGUGAAUAUAAGACAAUUGCUAUUUUUUUUCAAUUAAGAGGCUAUUUUUUAAAACAGUUUUAGACUUACAGAAUGAUAUGUUUUUAUAUAAGAAAUAUCAAGAAAGCUUGUAGAAUAGCAAAGCUUAGCAAAAAUUAAUUUAUUUGUCUUAUUGGUGCAUUUCAUUGUUUCACAAAGUGGGGGGUCCUGAUUUGGAACACAGACUAGGAAAAGGUAGGGUGAAUUCUUUGAAUAGAUAAUUUUUCCAUUCUUAAAAGUUUAACUUGUUCAUUUUUGGACCAGUUAAAAUUUUUUUUCCCAUUUCUUUAAAACUGUGAAAUAGAUGGGUGGGGUCACAGUAUGACCAAAAAAAAAAAAAAAAACCCUAAAAAUAGAGCUCUUUACUAGAUAUCUAUGUUUUAUCCUAGCUAAAUGUAACUCUUUUCCAUUAAAAUCUUUUUUGAUAUGGACCAGGGCAGUCUCAGGGCUAAUUAGAGAACCUUCUCACAUUAAUGAUCUCAGUGGCUGGUCUUGUCCUGCUCUCUCCAUGCCAGCUGUAGGUGUUUUUUAGAGCAGAGAUUUAUUUAAAACUAUUGAUGCAUUCAGCAGCAUACUAACCAGUGACCAUCAUUCUUACUUACUCUUCCUCUUGAUCAUUCUUUCUCUUUUCUUUACUGGUUCUUCAUUAUUGCACCUCUUGAAUAUUGAUAUUCCACAGUGUUUAAUCCUCAGUAUUGUUCUAUCUUGUUUUGCAUAGAUCCAGUCACUUUGUGUAUGCUUGGCAAUUCCUGGAUUAUUCAUUCAACCAGCAUUUGCUUUGCUUGGUUCAGGAAAUGCUAGUGAUAAAGUGAAGGAGAAAUAAGAAACCAGCACUUACAGAGCACAUUGACUGCAUUGUAAGGGAUUUGUAAGAGUUUCAUCAGAAUAGAGGAGGGCAAUCUGGUUGUCAUAACAUAACAUGCUUCUAAGAUACGCCCAGUCUGGGGGUGGGGGAAAUUAGAUGUUUUCUAGGCAAAAACGACAAAAAUAUUUGCAAGAAAGGUAUCAAGGCAUUUUGAGCAAAAGAAAUAGCGUGAAAGAACGUGAUACGUUUUGGGGAAUUGCAAGUAUUUGGUGUGGUAGAAGAGAAUGCAGUGAGUGUGGACAUAGCAGGAUAUGAAUCUGGAAAAAGGUAGAGAGGGGCCAUGCCAAGGAGUUUAGAAAGGAGUUCCAAAAGUGGUUUUAUGAUACAGAUAACUUGGGGCAGGUAGAUGAUAGAUUUCGGGAUGCGUGAAAGUGGGUGGGGCAGGGAUCAAGACUUGAGCCAGGCCUGCAGUCCCAUUAGGAGGUUUUUGUGAGAGUAAAUUGUUGAGGGCCUAAAUCAAAGAAGUGGCGUUGGAGACACAGGAUGCAUUUGAAUUUGAGGUAUUCUGUUGGGCCUGUUGACUGACUAGAUACAGGGGAGUAGGGAGAAAUUGAGGAAGAAAUUCCUGCUUGAGUAACUACAUAGAUAGUUAAGCCAUUACCUAAAAUGAAGUUUCUCUCCCGUCACUCUGGCAGUUAUGACUUAUUCUUGCCUUUACUUCCCUCCUUCUAUCUGCUGCUUAAACCCAUUCUUAGGUUUUGUCAUUUCUUCCUCUACAACUCUUUUCUCACCUGUAUGUUGAAUCUUAAAUCCAUAUUUUUAAUCCAAACUUUUUUGAACUCCAGAACCAUAUAUUCAGUUGCAUCCCGUGUGUGCAUAUUCUGUAGCAAUGGUUCUCGAAGUUUACCUGAGGACAGGAUCCCUAGGAGGCUCCUCAAAACUCUUUCAUGAGAUCCAUGAGGUCAAAUCAAUUUUCAUAAUAACAGGAAGACUUUAUUUGCCUGUUUCACUUUUAUUAUGAGUAUAUAGUGGAGUUUUCCAGAGGUGACACAGUGUGGGAUACCACAACAAAUUGGAUGCAGGCGCAUAUGUGAUAAUCCACCUACCUUCUGUUAAGCCAGAUGUUAGAGAGACUUACAGAAAUGUUAAACAGUGCCAUGCUUCUCACUAAUUUUGUUAUGGAAAAUAGAAC
rnacentral:lncRNA from 10 species